GACAGAGGGUGCAAACGUUGUUCGGAAUUACUGGGCGUAAAGCGAGUGUAGGCGGUCUUGAAAGUCGGAUGUGAAAUCCCGGGGCUCAACCCCGGAACUGCCUUUGAUACUGGGUGUCUAGAGUAUGGAAGAGGAGAAUGGAAUUCCUGGUGUAGCGGUGAAAUGCGCAGAUAUCAGGAAGAACACCCGUGGCUAAGGCGGUUCUCUAGUACGGUACUGACGCUGAGACGCGAAAGCGUGGGGAGCGAACAGG
rnacentral:rRNA from 1 species